rfam:Schistosoma curassoni strain Dakar, Senegal genome assembly, scaffold: SCTD_contig0000189
AUUCAAAUGAUGACUCCCAAAUAGGACGAAACACGCGUCCUGGAU